rnacentral:rRNA from 1 species
GAUUAUGGCUCAGGAUGAACGCUAGCGACAGGCUUAACACAUGCAAGUCGAGGGGCAGCACGGGAGUAGCAAUACAACUGGUGGCGACCGGCGCACGGGUGAGUAACGCGUAUGCAACCUGCCUAUCAGAGGGGAAUAACCCGGCGAAAGUCGGACUAAUACCGCAUAAAACAGGGGCACCGCAUGGUGAUAUUUGUUAAAGAAAUUCGCUGAUAGAUGGGCAUGCGUUCCAUUAGGUAGUUGGUGAGGUAACGGCUCACCAAGCCGACGAUGGAUAGGGGAACUGAGAGGUUGGUCCCCCACACUGGUACUGAGACACGGACCAGACUCCUACGGGAGGCAGCAGUGAGGAAUAUUGGUCAAUGGGCGGGAGCCUGAACCAGCCAAGUCGCGUGAAAGGAAGAAGGAUCUAUGGUUCGUAAACUUCUUUUGCAGGGGAAUAAAGUGCAGGACGUGUCCUGUUUUGUAUGUACCCUGAGAAUAAGGAUCGGCUAACUCCGUGCCAGCAGCCGC